rnacentral:rRNA from 1 species
AUGCCUAACAGCUAGCCCGCCCAAACAAUUUCAACGAUUCAAUCUUGAUAACCCCAAAGGACACUUAACUUAAAUUAAACAAACCAUUUUUCCACCUUAGUAUAGGCGAUAGAAAAGGACAUAUGGCGCUAUAGAGAAAGUACCGCAAGGGAACGCUGAAAGAGAAAUGAAACAACCCAGACAAGCUAAGAGAAGCAGAGAUUUAACCUCGUACCUUUUGCAUCAUGAUUUAGCAAGUGUAACUUAAGCAAAGAGACCUAUAGUUUAAUGCCCCGAAACUACGUGAGCUACUCCAAGACAGCCUAUUAAUAGGGCACACCCGUCUCUGUUGCAAAAGAGUGGGGCGAGCUUUGAGUAGAGGUGACAGACCUACCGAACCUAGUUAUAGCUGGUUGUCCAAGAAAUGAAUAGAAGUUCAGCCUCCCGGCUUCUCUUUUCACAUUAGUCUAACACCUAUUGAUGUAUUUAAGAAACCAUGAGAGUUAGUCAAAGGGGGUACAGCCCCUUUGAACAAAGACACAACUUUAUCAGGAGGGUAAAGAUCAUA